UGUUGAGAUUCCUGUACUGCUGUAUAUCAGAACUGUGGGGACACAGAGGGAAAGCACAGGCGCGGAAUGGAAAGCCGCGUGCAAACGAGGUACCGGACUGGUAGGAAAAACCGCCAGCCAACGGGAAGACGUGAUGCGGACCGAAAUUUAGUAGGGAAGUGUGUGAGCCAGCUGUCAAGAAAAGCCGCUAUUGUGUAUACAGUACCCGUACCGUAAACCGACACAGGUGGAUGAGGAGAGAAUCCUAAGGCCGGCGGAAGAAGUAUUGUCAAGGAACUCGGCAAAAUGACCCUGUAACUUCGGGAGAAAGGGUGCCUCGAAAGAGGCCGCAGAGAAUUGGCCCAAGCAACUGUUUAGCAAAAACACAGGUCUAUGCAAAACCGAGAGGUGAGGUAUAUGGGCUGACGCCUGCCCGGUGCUGGAAGGUUAAGGGGAGAUGUUAGAGCAAUCGAAGCAUCGAACUUGAGCCCCAGUAAACGGCGGCCGUAACAAUAACGGUCCUAAGGUAGCGAAAUUCCUUGUCGGGUAAGUUCCGACCCGCACGAAAGGCGUAAUGAUUUGGGCGCUGUCUCGACAAUACAUCCGGUGAAAUUGAAGUACCAGUGAAGAUGCUGGUUACCCGCGCCAGGACGGAAAGACCCCAUGGAGCUUUACUCCAGCUUGAUACUGGGAUUCGGUAUUGCAUGUACAGGAUAGGUGGGAGGCUAAGAAGCAUGGACGCCAGUCUAUGUGGAGCCGCUGUUGGGAUACCACCCUUGCGGUAUUGGAUUUCUAACCAGCCGCCGUGAAACCGGCGGUGGGACAAUGUCAGGCGGGGAGUUUGACUGGGGCGGUCGCCUCCGAAAGGGUAUCGGAGGCGCCCAAAGGUUCCCUCAGAAUGGUUGGAAACCAUUCGAAGAGUGCAAAGGCAGAAGGGAGCUUGACUGUGACACCGACGGGUGGAGCAGGUACGAAAGUAGGGCUUAGUGAUCCGGUGGUAUUAAGUGGGAAUGCCAUCGCUCAACGGAUAAAAGCUACCCUGGGAUAACAGGCUUAUCACUCCCAAGAGUUCACAUCGACGGAGUGGUUUGGCACCUCGAUGUCGGCUCAUCGCAUCCUGGGGCUGUAGUAGGUCCCAAGGGUUGGGCUUUCGCCCAUUAAAGCGGUACGCGAGCUGGGUUCAGAACGUCGUGAGACAGUUCGGUCCCUAUCCGGCGUGGGCGCAGGAUAUUUGAGAGGAGCUGUCCUUAGUACGAGAGGACCGGGAUGGACUGACCUCUGGUGCACCGGUUGUUCCGCCAGGAGCAUAGCCGGGUAGCCAAGUCGGGAAGGAUAAACGCUGAAGGCAUCUAAGCGUGAAGCCCCCCUCAAGAUGAGAUAUCCCAUGCGAAAGCGAUAAGACCCCUUGAAGACGACGAGGUAGAUAGGUCAGAGGUGGAAGUGCAGUAAUGCAUGGAGCUGACUGAUACUAAUAGGUCGAAGGCUU
rnacentral:rRNA from 1 species